UUCAGUAACAGAACCUCAUUGGAAAAUUAGCUGAUUUAACUUUACUGUGCUCUUGUUCAAAUAUAUUAACUCGACAGCACAUAUAUUCAUACCUGUUAACAAAAUCAUGAUUUUAUUGAUAAUUCGGCUCAAUAAAAACACCUUUACCUUUUCAUUUAGUCUCUUUGCUAAAGAAAUGAGUCAAAGUUAAAAAGAUGUUUGGUGUCUAGUACUAUGGCUGUGACCCUAUAUGUCCUGUUGAUGAAGUUAGGUGCUGUUCUGAGCAUUAUUUGUGGCUAUAGAGUGGCGUUUUGGUUGAGCGCGUGGCUCUCUGUAUCGCUAUCCUAAAGUUGGUAAAACUAGAGAAGCAAGCGGUCGACAACAUUCAUCUCUGGAGGGGGGGUCUAACUCGGUGUUACGGCGAGUUUGACCCUAAAUUAAUUU